rnacentral:rRNA from 1 species
CAGCGCCCCAAGUGGCGAUCACGAUUAUUGGGCCUAAAGCGUCCGUAGCCGGAUAGAUAAAUCCGCUGUGAAAUCGUUCUGCUUAACGGAACGGCGUGCAGUGGAGACUGUCUAUCUCGAGACCGGGAGGAGUUAGAGGUAUGCCGUGGGGACUGGUAAAAUGGGAUAAUCCACGGUAGACCACCAAUGGCGAAGGCAUCUAACGAGAACGGAUCUGACGGUGAGGGACGAAAGCCAGGGGAGCGAACCGGAUUAGAUACCCGAGUAGUCC